UGCCUGAACUACAUCAAAAGAAACUGAAAUAGCAUACCAAGCACAAUAUCUACUAUUGCCACUUUUAAAUAGCAGCCAUCAGUGAAGUGAGAAGUGGGCAUUAACCAAAGGACUUUCCUGCAGUUCUUCAUCGGGAGUGAGGAUAUGGCCUCUCAGGGCCAAGCAGUGAUGAGAGACCUUGUCAGUCAUGGAAGGGAGAAGAGAAGCUGGGUCAUGCAAGUUGCAUGAGAAGCAGUUAACAAAAGGAUUUCACUGGAGGUUAAAGAAGUAAUAAUGAAGAAUCAAUAAUUAGCAGAGGACCAGAUCUCUUCCCUAGCUUCCCCUUCAGUAACCUCCAAACAAAAUGUAAGCCCUGACCGUGUGACAUCUAGAGAAAGGGCACGAGGAGCUCACAAGUCUGCACACAGGGGAUGGUGAUGCCUCUGAUCGCCUGUCUCAGUGAUUAACUGACACUCUUUCUCUGCUUCCUUUUAAAAACAUUCAUAGCAGAGUCUUGGGAGGUGGUUUUAAGGGAACUUGGGUCCCCCAUCUCCCCAGAUUGCUGGCAUUCAGAUUAAAAGCACUUUUCUUUCCCUAC